CAGCUGCGGCGUUUCACUGGCAUAACGGCUGCCAUCGUCAGUGAUGUGCCGCGUCUGGCCGUGUAAUGACGUGUUGCUUUAAAGAAAUGUGCUGGCCAGCGUGAAAAUCCAUCGCUGGAACCAAGUUCAGUCUGCUUGGAGGCCACCCACGAAUGCGGAUUCACCUCGAAGCCUCUGGGCUUGUGCACCGCCUCCAAGACGCUGCUCACAGUUGUUCACCCCUUUGGACUCUGUUGUCUUUGGACGUACAAGUCAGCAGUGAAUGUGUCACCAAUGGCAGUAACAUCAAGGGCCAAAAUCCUCACAAGGAAGACGGACAAGAGAGAGAUUAUUAAUAUGCAAGCUGCCCACGCUAAGCCAUAAGAAGCUCAACGGUCACCAUAAUGACGACAGGUCCUCUUGAGCUGUGUGCCUCACCAUGAAAUGUUUGGAAGUUUAGCAGGCAGAGGGGCGUGAGCCCUAUGAAGAAAGCAAAAGUCUACAGUUUUGUAUCGUACCGAGCGGGUAUGCUAAAAUUUUGCGUACAAGCUUAUUUGCUUUUAAGGUCGUUUUAUGACAAACGGAGAAGUAACACGGUGAGUCCCAAGU
rnacentral:lncRNA from 1 species